rnacentral:rRNA from 1 species
AUGGCGGCGGUGAAGAAGUACACGGUGGCGCUCUUCCUCGCCGUCGCCCUCGUGGCGGGGCCGGCCGUCUCCUACGCCGCCGACGCUGCCUACACCCCGGCCGCCCCAGCCGGAGCCGCCGGGACACAGCCCAAGGCGACGACCGACGAGCAGAAGCUGAUGGAGAAGAUCAACGACGGCUUCAAGGCGGCCGUGGCGGCCGCAGCCGGCGUCCCUGCGGCGGACAAGUACAAGACAUUUGAUGCCACAUUCAGCGAGGCCUCUAACAAGGCUUUCGCGGAGGUCCUCAAGGGCGCCGCCGCCGGCCAGUACGCCGGCCAGUCCAGCUCCAUGGCCAAACUCUCCAGCAGCCUCGAACUCUCCUACAAGCUCGCCUACGACAAAGCCCAGGGAGCCACCCCCGAGGCCAAGUACGACGCCUACGUCGCCACCCUCACCGAGUCGCUCCGCGUCAUCUCCGGCACCCUCGAGGUCCACUCCGUAAAGCCCGCCGAGGAGGAGGUCAAGGGGGUCCCCACCGGCGAGCUGAAGGCCAUCGAUCAGGUCGACGCCGCCUUCAGGACCGCCGCCACGGCCGCCGACGCUGCCCCGGUCAACGACAAGUUCACCGUCUUCGAGACCGCCUUCAACAAGGCCAUCAAGGAGACCACGGGCGGCGCAUAUGAGAGCUACAAGUUCAUCCCGGCCCUUGAGGCCGCUGUCAAGCAGGCGUACGCCGCCACCGUCGCCGCCGCGCCGGAGGUAAAAUUCACCGUCUUUCAGACCGCCCUGAGCAAGGCCAUCAAUGCCAUGACCCAAGCCGAGAAGGAUGCCGCAGCCACCGCCACCGCCACCGCUGGGGCCAGCGCCGGCGCCACUGCCGGUGGCUACAAAGCCUGA